rnacentral:rRNA from 3 species
UGGUAAUUCUAGAGCUAAUACAUGCUAAAAACCUCGACUUCGGAAGGGGUGUAUUUAUUAGAUAAAAAACCAACGCCCUUCGGGGCUCCUUGGUGAUUCAUGAUAACUUAACGAAUCGCAUGGCCUUGUGCCGGCGAUGGUUCAUUCAAAUUUCUGCCCUAUCAACUUUCGAUGGUAGGAUAGUGGCCUACCAUGGUUUCAACGGGUAACGGGGAAUUAGGGUUCUAUUCCGGAGAGGGAGCCUGAGAAACGGCUACCACAUCCAAGGAAGGCAGCAGGCGCGCAAAUUACCCAAUCCCGACACGGGGAGGUAGUGACAAUAAAUACUGAUACAGGGCUCUUUUGGGUCUUGUAAUUGGAAUGAGUACAAUUUAAAUCCCUUAACGAGGAACAAUUGGAGGGCAAGUCUGGUGCCAGCAGCCGCGGUAAUUCCAGCUCCAAUAGCGUAUAUUAAAGUUGUUGCAGUUAAAAAGCUCGUAGUUGAACCUUGGGCCUGGCUGGCCGGUCCGCCUCGCGGCGUGCACUGGUCCGGCCGGGCCUUUCCUCCUGGGGAACCGCAUGCCCUUCACUGGGUGUGUUGGGGAUCCAGGACUUUUACUUUGAAAAAAUUAGAGUGUUCAAAGCAGGCCUAUGCUCGAAUACAUUAGCAUGGAAUAAUAGAAUAGGACGUGUGGUUCUAUUUUGUUGGUUUCUAGGACCGCCGUAAUGAUUAAUAGGGAUAGUCGGGGGCAUCAGUAUUCCGUUGUCAGAGGUGAAAUUCUUGGAUUUACGGAAGACUAACUACUGCGAAAGCAUUUGCCAAGGAUGUUUUCAUUAAUCAGUGAACGAAAGUUAGGGGAUCGAAGACGAUCAGAUACCGUCGUAGUCUUAACCAUAAACUAUGCCGACUAGGGAUCGGGCGAUGUUAUCUUUUUGACUCGCUCGGCACCUUACGAGAAAUCAAAGUUUUUGGGUUCUGGGGGGAGUAUGGUCGCAAGGCUGAAACUUAAAGAAAUUGACGGAAGGGCACCACCAGGAGUGGAGCCUGCGGCUUAAUUUGACUCAACACGGGGAAACUCACCAGGUCCAGACACAAUAAGGAUUGACAGAUUGAGAGCUCUUUCUUGAUUUUGUGGGUGGU